AUGACAGUGUUCUCUGGCAUCCUACAAACAAUAAAUGAAGUUGAGGGAAUGUUCAACCUUCCUGUGUGUGUGCUUCAAUCUAUACAAAAGCAUUGGCUUGCUGCAGCUGUUCCUACUCCAGCACAAGUUCGUGCUGUUACUCAGCCAAGGAUAUUCCGAUCCUAAAAUAUGUUGAAUGCUUCACAGGGCCAAACAUAAUGGCUAUGCAAAUGAUGCUGAUAAAUAAAUUUCCAGAUUCUGGUAAGCA
rnacentral:lncRNA from 1 species